CGCCUGUUUAUCAAAAACAUGUCCUUUUGUUUAAUUUAAUGUAUUUAAGGUCUGGUCUGCCCAAUGAUUUAAUUAUUUAAUGGCCGCAGUAUUUUAACUGUGCUAAGGUAGCAUAAUCAUUUGUCUUUUAAUUGAGGGCUUGUAUGAAUGGCUUGACGAAUCAUUAUCUUUCUUUUGAUUAAUAUAUGAAUUUAAUUUUUUUGUUAAAAAGCUAAAGAUUUUUUUAUGGGACGAGAAGACCCUAUAGAGUUUAAUAUUUAUAUUUAUUAAUUUUUUUAGUUUAUUUUUUAUUUAAUUAAUUGUGUAUUUCGUUGGGGUGAUGUUUAAAUUUUAAUAACUUUUAUUUUUAUGUUUUCAUUUUUUUAUGUUUUUUUGAUCCAUUGUUUAUGAUUAUAAGAUUAAAUUACCUUAGGGAUAACAGCGUAAUUUCUUUGGAGAGUUCUUAUUGAUAAGGAAGUUUGCGACCUCGAUGUUGGAUUAAAAUAAGUUUUGGGUGUAGUAGUUUAAUUUACUAGGUCUGUUCGACCUUUAAUUUUUUACAUGAUCUGAGUUCAAACCGGAG
rnacentral:rRNA from 1 species